AACGAACGCUGGCGGCAUGCCUAACACAUGCAAGUCGAACGAGACCUUCGGGUCUAGUGGCGCACGGGUGCGUAACGCGUGGGAAUCUGCCCUUGGGUUCGGAAUAACAGUUAGAAAUGACUGCUAAUACCGGAUGAUGACUUCGGUCCAAAGAUUUAUCGCCCAAGGAUGAGCCCGCGUCGGAUUAGCUAGUUGGUGGGGUAAAGGCCCACCAAGGCGACGAUCCGUAGCUGGUCUGAGAGGAUGAUCAGCCACACUGGGACUGAGACACGGCCCAGACUCCUACGGGAGGCAGCAGUGGGGAAUAUUGGACAAUGGGCGAAAGCCUGAUCCAGCAAUGCCGCGUGAGUGAUGAAGGCCCUAGGGUUGUAAAGCUCUUUUACCCGGGAUGAUAAUGACAGUACCGGGAGAAUAAGCCCCGGCUAACUCCGUGCCAGCCGCCGCGGUAAGAC
rnacentral:rRNA from 1 species